AAUAACAAGAGUUUUACAAACAAAAGCUUAACAACAAUAAAAUGACGAGGUUAACAAACACAACAAUCAUACAAACGAGUCAUUUUGAAUAGCAUGUCGUACAGUUUCCUUCAUCGAGGGAACUUUAGUACUUAAGGGCUUGGCAGAGGUGGCAACGGUACUGGCAGCUCUGGUAGUGGUAGUUUGGGAAGUCCUGGCAAAGGUACUGGCAACUCCGGUAUGGGCAAAGUUGGCAGCUGAGAUUUUGGAAGUUCUGGCAGUUUAGGAAGAUCGGGCAUAGGUAAUGUGGGCAAUCCAGGCUGUGGCAAUGUUGGUAGCUCGGGUUUUGGGAGGCCAAUGGGAAGAUCAGGCUUCGGCACAUCUGGCAAACUUACUUCCAAAAGACGGCGAGCCUCCGCUUGAAUUGCAUGGCUGCUGAUUGAUGAUAAGACAAAGAGGAAGAGAAGGUAAAGGGAGUGAUGAGCCAUAGUUAUAGCAGAUGAUUUAUACAGUUCCAAGU
rnacentral:lncRNA from 1 species